rnacentral:rRNA from 1 species
GACGAACGCUGGCGGCGCGCUUAACACAUGCAAGUCGAGCGAAGCGGCGGACGGGUGAGUAACACGUGAGUAACCUGCCUUAGACAUUGGGAUAGCCUCGGGAAACCGGUAUUAAUACCAAAUGGUAUAAGAUGGACUCGCGUCCCAUUAGCUAGUUGGUGGGUAACGGCCCACCAAGGCGACGAUGGGUAGCCGGCCUGGGAGGGUGAACGGACACAUUGGAAGUGGGAAACGGUCCAAACUCUACGGGAGGCAGAAGAGGAGAAUAUAGCAAAAUAGAGGGAACGCUGAUGGGGGGACGCGGAGUGAACGAAGGAGGCUUUCGAGUCGGAAAGUUAUUUUAUAUGGGAAGCGGUACCAUAAGAAAAAGCCCCGGCUAACUACGUGCCAGCCGCCGCGGUAAUAC